GGCUGUGGCACUUGGUCACAGGGGAUGGGCUAUUACCAUUGUGACGUCGGCGCCCAUGACUACUCUCCCUUUUCGAAACGUUUUGAAAAACAAUGCAACCAUCCCAAUGGAAUAUUAUUGAAGCCCUGGUUGAAAAAGCCCCUAAAGAGUUAUGUUAUACAACGUUUGACAUGUUUGAACGAACUUAAAUCAUUUUUUUUUGCUCAUUCCUGACGACAAGUCAGACGCACACGGUACAUUUUCACUAGCCUUCGGAGCGCGCUAACACUAUUGGGACAUAAAUUAUUCACUUUUUUGAACAAAACUACAUUUGUUAUGGACCUGGGAUUCCUAGAAGUGCCUUCUGAUAAAGAUAAUCAAAGGGUAUGCUUCUGUGUGUAGCGGGGUUAAUGAAGGAGCAGGAAGGGUCAGAGCUACCUCCCGCCCGCCAACUGCUGAGACAUGACUCCGUUUUGGGCUAGCCACCGCUGAACAUCAUCCCCAGCAGCCCAGAUGAGAGAUCACAGCAGUCUCGGCAGCCGAGAAUAUUAAUGGACUUAAAGUUGUUAGAGUGAAGGAUACGGUCGGUCUGAUUGCGGUUUAUUUAUAUAAGA
rnacentral:lncRNA from 1 species